UACGUAGGCAGCGAGCGUUGUUCGGAAUUACUGGGCGUAAAGCGUGCGCAGGCGGUUUUGUAAGCCAGAUGUGAAAUCCCCGGGCUUAACCUGGGAAUGGCAUUUGGGACUGCAAGGCUCGAGUGCGGCAGAGGAGACUGGAAUUCCUGGUGUAGCAGUGAAAUGCGCAGAUAUCAGGAAGAACACCCGUGGCGAAGGCGGCUCC
rnacentral:rRNA from 1 species